AUUGUCCCGUUUUAUUUAUUUAUUUAUUGUAUUUUGCAUGCGAGUCACCAGUUGAAGAUUUUUGCAAAUGUUGUAACAUUUUUUUACAAAUUUCAUACAAACAGUAAAUGCAUUUUAUAUAUGCCUAAGUGACUACGUAUAAGCGUAAAUGGAAAUAGGGUCUUUUGUGCAAUAAAAGUACUGGGCCUUGUCCAGAAACCAUGAGCUUCAAUUCAAACAAGUGUAAUUUUUGUUCUACAGAUAAAGGGACUGUGACAACUGCUAUUGCAGAAGCAGAAGUAGCAGAAGAUAUAAAAAGUCCUUUGAACUAUUCAAGUGGGACAAGAUUUAAGAAUUUCUCAACUGCCAACACCUGGACUGUAAGGGGACUGAAGAGCUUGACUGCAGCAACAACCUGCAUCGAGUCCGUUCCGUUCAAGCACCAGGACUCCAGUACUUGGUGCAUGGUCCUUACAAGGGACUCAGAUGGACUUUAUCUGUCAUUUUUGCUGAAAGAAAGUCCAACUGAAAUGCUUCUGAGAGCAAGUGUAAGGGCAGACGAGAUUCUUCGUACUGGAGAAAAGCGAGAAGUGUACCCGAGCACGUGGUAUAAUUUGGAUGAAGGAGAGAACACUGAAAUGCUGCCUGUUAGGAAAACUGAAACUGCAGGAGAGGGCGAUGACGAAGAUGAGAUAACCUUGCAGUGUGAAGUCUGCAUACAGUGCAUUGAACAGGAUGAGCUACCUGUGGUAAACACGACAGAAGUAAAAGCUGAUGUAGUAAGGGGUCUGUAUGAGAUGUUGCUCAAAGAAGUCCACACAGACUUUGAGCUUCAUGCAGGAGACACUGUUCUCAAGGCACACAGAGCACUACUGUCUGUACGGAGCCCUUACUUCGCUGACAUGCUGCAGCCUGACACAAAGGAAGCCCAGGAAGGCUUCGCACUGGUCUCAGAUGUGAAGCCGGAGGUAUUGAAACAGGUUCUAUUGUAUAUGUACACGGGUGUCGCUCCGGCACUCAAAGACAUGUCGUGGGACCUACUGAAAGCAGCUGACAAAUACCAACUCCGGCACUUGAAGCGCCAGUGCGAAGCACACAUUGCCAGCUGUCUGAAUGUGGAAAAUGCUGCAGAAACUGCAGCCAAUGCCUCUGUUUUCUCGUGCGACAUGCUGUGGGACCGAGCCGUCCUUUUCAUCAAGCGCAACCUCAGUGAGGUGAUGUGCACGCCUGGAUGGACUGAAGCAGGAGCUACACAUCCGGAAGCCAUACAGCGUAUUAACGAGCUGAUGGAAUGAGCCAGUGAGAGAAUUUGGCUUUUCACUGUGGACAUGACACUUCACCUGAUGACCGAGGGAAGUCUCCCAGAAACGUUGCUCGGACUGGGCAAUAUAGAACGACCGACAGAAGAUGGAGCUAUAACAUCAGCAGAUGGAAGACAGAAGAAGCAGAAUUCAAAGGUGAUUUAGAGAGAUCCCCAUGAAAUUCAUUUCCAGGAGUUCCAGGAAUAAUUGGGUAUGCAAUAAACGGGAACUCAGAACAUGUUAUUGAACACUGAACUCAGCUGACUUUAGUUUAGCACUAGUGACAAAUGAGGAACAUUCAUCAUAUGCUUUAUCAAGAUAAAUCAACUUUGAUAUAUCUUUCUUAUAAUAAUAUAAUAAUUCACUUCAGUUGUCUUCUGCACAACCAACACAUUUCUUAAUUACUGUUUCAAAUCACACCUUCAUCUCUAUUUUACUCAGAAAUGUCAUUCCAUUGUAAAAUGAAGAAAGUUAAGGAUGAAGUUCCCUUUUGAUAUUCCGUAGUCAACAAUUACUGUUUUGUGACCCAUUUUUUUAUUUUUUAAUGGAAAACAUUUGUAUUGUCCAAUGAA